rnacentral:miRNA from 1 species
AUACCUCAUCUAGAAUGCUGUA